UCACCUAAGGAAAACAACAAGCGCUCAUUACUCAGCUAUUUUCCUCAAACCCUAACCUCUCUCCAAACACAGAGUCUUUGAAUCUCUUCGUGCUCCUUAGCGCAGAGAGCCAUGUCUAACAGUGAGGAGCAUCAUUUCAAGUCCAAGGCCGACACUAGAGGUUCCAAGACUUAUUCUCAGCAGGCCGGUACCAUCUGUAAUAACAGUUAGAUUUCUCUUGAGGGGUUCAAAAGUGGGUUUGGGAAUAAUGCUCUUCAUCAAGGGGUGAAAGAGAGUGAUACUGGUGCAAGGCUCUUGUUUCCUAUUGAGGAUUUGAAACAAAUCCCAACAACAAGUGAAUUUGAGCAAAACAAAGGGCAAGGAGAUUAUUCUAAUGGGUUUUCUUCCUCUCCACAGACAGUGAUGGUUUCUGGAGUAGCCUACCUAAAAGCCCAGAAGAGCCUUUCUCUUUCUCUUUGUCUGUCUGUUGAAGAAUUCCAAAACUUGUUCUCUUGUGUCCACUGCGCAUUUAUCGAACAAAGCUUCUUCUCGUCACAAUCGUUCAAUCAAAUUCCAUCAAACAUGGGUUGUUGACCAAGUAAAGCAAGGCUUGGUGAUCUACCAAAAAGACAAGGCAUGAGAUCCAGAAUGGGUCUUUUUACUUUUUCCCAUCCAAAUCUCCAAUGUGUAUGGUAGAACGAACGAGGAGAAGAAGAACAGGUUCGACCCGAUCCGACCUUUUGGCGGUCGGGUUGGGUCAAGAUUAUUUAGAAAUCUCUGCAGGUCGAGUCGAACCUAAAUUUGGCUCGGGUGGUUCGGUGUGCAACCCCUAGUCUGAUUCAAUUGGUUUUCUAAAUUAUUUUACACUCCUACUGAUGUGUGUGCAUUUUGCCAUUAGAGAAUUGAUCCAUCUAAAGCAAGCUAUGCUCCCAUAUGAUUGCUUCUCCCAUAUACGAUCUAAAUGCAAGAGGAAGUGGGUAUCUUCUUGAACAACAAAGUGUAGCAUUGUACUACUAGUGGUGAUCUCCAACUCUAGUCUCUGACAAAGAAAUCGCCAUUUAAGGCGGCUUCC